rnacentral:rRNA from 1 species
CUACGGGAGGCAGCAGUGGGGAAUAUUGCACAAUGGGCGGAAGCCUGAUGCAGCAACGCCGCGUGCGGGAUGACGGCCUUCGGGUUGUAAACCGCUUUCGCCUGUGACGAAGCGUGAGUGACGGUAAUGGGUAAAGAAGCACCGGCUAACUACGUGCCAGCAGCCGCGGUGAUACGUAGGGUGCGAGCGUUGUCCGGAUUUAUUGGGCGUAAAGGGCUCGUAGGUGGUUGAUCGCGUCGGAAGUGUAAUCUUGGGGCUUAACCCUGAGCGUGCUUUCGAUACGGGUUGACUUGAGGAAGGUAGGGGAGAAUGGAAUUCCUGGUGGAGCGGUGGAAUGCGCAGAUAUCAGGAGGAACACCAGUGGCGAAGGCGGUUCUCUGGGCCUUUCCUGACGCUGAGGAGCGAAAGCGUGGGGAGCGAACAGGCUUAGAUACCCUGGUAGUCCACGCUGUAAACGGUGGGUACUAGGUGUGGGGUCCAUUCCACGGGUUCCGUGCCGUAGCUAACGCUUUAAGUACCCCGCCUGGGGAGUACGGCCGCAAGGCUAAAACUCAAAGGAAUUGACGGGGCCCCGCACAAGCGGCGGAGCAUGCGGAUUAAUUCGAUGCAACGCGUAGAACCUUACCUGGGUUUGACAUGGAUCGGGAGUGCUCAGAGAUGGGUGUGCCUCUUUUGGGGUCGGUUCACAGGUGGUGCAUGGCUGUCGUCAGCUCGUGACGUGAGAUGUUGGGUUAAGUCCCGCAACGAGCGCAACCCUUGUUCACUGUUGCCAGCACGUUAUGGUGGGGACUCAGUGGAGACCGCCGGGGUCAACUCGGAGGAAGGUGGGGAUGACGUCAAGUCAUCAUGCCCCUUAUGUCCAGGGCUUCACGCAUGCUACAAUGGCUGGUACAGAGAGUGGCGAGCCUGUGAGGGUGAGCGAAUCUCGGAAAGCCGGUCUCAGUUCGGAUUGGGGUCUGCAACUCGACCUCAUGAAGUCGGAGUCGCUAGUAAUCGCAGAUCAGCAACGCUGCGGUGAAGCGUUCCCGGGCCUUGUACACACCGCCAU